rnacentral:tRNA from 1 species
GGGGAUGUAGCUCAGCUGAUAGAGCGUCGCAUUCGCAUUGCGAAGGUCGUGGGUUUAAGUCCCAUCAUCUCCACCA